rnacentral:rRNA from 1 species
GACUCUCGACAACAGAUAUCUUAGCUCUCGCCACGAUGAAGAACGUAGCAAAAUGCGAUACUUGGUGUGAAUUUCAUAAUCAUGUGAAUCAUCGAGUCUUUGAACGCAAGUUGUGCCCAAGGCUGUAGGUUGAGGGCACGCCUGCCUGAGGGUCA